rnacentral:rRNA from 1 species
CGCGUGCACUGGUCCGGCCGGGCCUUUCCCUCUGUGGAACCCCAUACCCUUCACUGGGCGUGGCGGGGAAACAGGACAUUUACUUUGAAAAAAUUAGAGUGCUCCAGGCAGGCCUAUGCUCGAAUACAUUAGCAUGGAAUAAUAAAAUAGGACGCGCGGUUCUAUUUUGUUGGUUUAUAGGACCGCCGUAAUGAUUAAUAGGGACAGUCGGGGGCAUCAGUAUUCAACUGUCAGAGGUGAAAUUCUUGGAUCAGUUGAAGACUAACUACUGCGAAAGCAUUUGCCAAGGAUGUUUUCAUUAAUCAGGAACGAAAGUUAGGGGAUCGAAGACGAUCAGAUACCGUCGUAGUCUUAACCAUAAACUAUGCCGACUAGGGAUCGGACGGUGUUAUUCAUGACCCGUUCGGCACCUUACGAGAAAUCAAAGUGCUUGGGCUCCAGGGGGAGUAUGGUCGCAAGGCUGAAACUUAAAGAAAUUGACGGAAGGGCACCACCAGGGGUGGAGCCUGCGGCUUAAUUUGACUCAACACGGGGAAACUCACCAGGUCCAGACACAAUAAGGAUUGACAGAUUGAGAGCUCUUUCUUGAUUUUGUGGGUGGUGGUGCAUGGCCGUUCUUAGUUGGUGGGGUGACUUGUCUGCUUAAUUGCGAUAACGAACGAGACCUUAACCUGCUAAAUAGCCCGCAUUGCUCCGGCAGUGCGCUGGCUUCUUAGAGGGACUUUCGG